UGGGGAAUAUUGGACAAUGGGGGAAACCCUGAUCCAGCGACGCCGCGUGUGUGAAGAAGGCCUGCGGGUUGUAAAGCACUUUUAGUGGGGAUGAAAAGCCGAAGGCUAAUACCUUUCGGUCUUGACCUAACCCACAGAAAAAGCACCGGCUAACUCUGUGCCAGCAGCCGCGGUAAUACAGAGGGUGCAAGCGUUAAUCGGAAUUACUGGGCGUAAAGCGUGCGUAGACGGUUAUUUAAGUCAGGUGUGAAAGCCCCGGGCUCAACCUGGGAAUUGCAUUUGAGACUGAAUAGCUAGGGUGCGGAAGAGGGAAGCGGAAUUUCCGGUGUAGCGGUGAAAUGCGUAGAUAUCGGAAGGAACACCAGUGGCGAAAGCGGCUUCCUGGUCCAGCACCGACGUUCAGGCACGAAAGCGUGGGGAGCAAACAG
rnacentral:rRNA from 1 species